CCUACGGGAGGCAGCAGUGAGGAAUAUUGGUCAAUGGACGCAAGUCUGAACCAGCCAUGCCGCGUGCAGGAAGACGGCUCUAUGAGUUGUAAACUGCUUUUGUACGAGGGUAAACGCGGAUACGCGUAUCUGUCUGAAAGUAUCGUACGAAUAAGGAUCGGCUAACUCCGUGCCAGCAGCCGCGGUAAUACGGAGGAUUCAAGCGUUAUCCGGAUUUAUUGGGUUUAAAGGGUGCGUAGGCGGUCUGAUAAGUUAGAGGUGAAAUCCCGGGGCUCAACUUGGGAACUGCCUCUGAUACUGUUCGGCUAGAGAGUAGAUGCGGUAGGCGGAAUGUAUGGUGUAGCGGUGAAAUGCUUAGAGAUCAUACAGAACACCGAUUGCGAAGGCAGCCUACCAAGCUACAUCUGACGUUGAGGCACGAAAGCGUGGGGAGCAAACAGGAUUAGAUACCCGAGUAGUC
rnacentral:rRNA from 1 species